GGAAGGAGAGAGAGGGAGCGAUUCUUCGCUACUCAGUUAAGUGUCUAUAUUAUUUAACCCUACAUCCAACCCUCACUUACAGCCUGAAUGUAAAAGAUUACUAAUAUGUGGUGGCCAUCUUGAAAGCCGAGGGCUAUACAGGACUGAUGGUUAGGCAUAAUGUAGGCUGUGUGCUGGGUGCAUACCAGUAUAAUCGUUGGCCAGCAAACUCCAUUCCAAACCCCAAACACCCCAUUACAGAGGGAAAGAUGUAUUACAGCCUCAGAAUGCAUGCAUACACACACACACACACACACACACACACACACACACACACACACACACACACACACACACACACACACACACACACAGACACAGACACAGACAGACACAUAUACACACGCACACCUCCUCUCUCUAGUCACGCCAGCAGCCCUGCCACAAUCUAUCUAAACACUUUACUUGGGCUUAAACCAAGACUAUUGUGUUGUUGGGCUAAAGUUGAAAGACUACUUCUCUCCAAUUCGUUUUUUUGUUUGUUUUCCAUGAUGAGUUACAAUCCCAAUGCAGGAAUCCAGAUCGCACAACAACACUGUUUGGCCACUCAAGGGAGUUGAGCAGCUAUUGACUGGAUUUUCAUAUUCUGUUAUUAGAUGUUAUGUUUGAAAUCCAUGAGAAGGACAAAAAGUGCUGCUUUCCGUAGUGACUGUGUGUGUGUGUGUGUGUGUGUGUGUGUGUGUGUGUGUGUGUGUGUGUGUGUGUGUGUGUGUGUGUGUGUGUGUGUGUGUGUGUGUGUGUGUGUGUGUGUGUGUGUGUGUGUAUUUACCUGCCUGAGUAUGUAUGUCAGACCCCAUAUGUAAAUUAAGAAGGAGGAAUGAUGUUUGCCUUAUUGGCCCUGUCAUUCAUGGGGGUGGAGGGUGGAGGGGUAGGGGGUGACUGUUGUCAGAGCGCUCGUCAGGCUUUGAUGUCACCCAGAGCCGAGGGCCGAUGUGCAGAUCAUUGUGUAAGUAAAUCAACGCCAUUCAGCCAUCACCAUGUCACAUCACACAAAUAAUUAUCACCCUGUUCCAGCCACAUCAGUCAUCUCACGGCUUGACGUUUGACAGCCAGUAUCAAGAUAGUGCCAUUAUGUAAUCAUUCUAACUAGCAUUAAAUGUUGACCUAUUGAGCAUUGAGUAGGUCCGGCUCUAACCUUUUGAGUCCCCCCACCAAGCGGGCAAAAUUGAGAGUAGAGCAAAAAGGUGGCACACUUUUCCACCAGCCACUUUUAUAACACACCUGACAUUAAUGCAGCUCUCAAGGAGCUGAGAUGCC
rnacentral:lncRNA from 13 species